rnacentral:rRNA from 1 species
ACGGGAGGCAGCAGUGGGGAAUUUUGCGCAAUGGGGGAAACCCUGACGCAGCAACGCCGCGUGCGGGAUGACGGCCUUCGGGUUGUAAACCGCUUUCAGCAGGGACGAUAGUGACGGUACCUGCAGAAGAAGCUCCGGCUAACUACGUGCCAGCAGCCGCGGUAAUACGUAGGGAGCAAGCGUUAUCCGGAUUCAUUGGGCGUAAAGCGCGCGUAGGCGGCUUGCUAAGCGGAACCUCUAAUCCGAGGGCUCAACCCCCGGUCGGGUUCCGAACUGGCAGGCUCGAGUUGGGUAGAGGUAGAUGGAAUUCCCGGUGUAGCGGUGAAAUGCGCAGAUAUCGGGAAGAACACCGAUGGCGAAGGCAGUCUACUGGGCCUUAACUGACGCUGAGGUGCGAAAGCGUGGGGAGCGAACAGGAUUAGAUACCCUGGUA